rnacentral:rRNA from 1 species
UACGAGGGGGGCUAGUGUUGUUCGGAAUUACUGGGCGUAAAGCGCGUGUAGGCGGCUCUGUAAGUCGGGUGUGAAAUCCCACGGCUCAACCGUGGAAGUGCACUCGAAACUACAGGGCUAGAGUCCUGGAGAGGAAGGUGGAAUGCUUGGUGUAGAGGUGAAAUUCGUAGAUAUCAAGCGGAACACCGGUGGCGAAGGCGGCCUUCUGGACAGUGACUGACGCUGAGACGCGAAAGCGUGGGUAGCAAACAGG